rnacentral:rRNA from 1 species
CGUAGCUGGGUGACAGGAGCCGGGGGUAGACGGAGGGUGCAAGGUUUACUGUGAAUUACUGGGCGGAGAGCGUGCUGAGGGGGUUCGUUAAGUCUGAUGUGAAAGCCCUGGGCUCAACCUGGGAAUGGCAUGGGAUACUGGCGGGCUAGAGUGCGGUAGAGGUCAGUGGAAUGCCCGGUGUAGCAGUGAAAUGCGUAGAGAUCGGGAGGAACAUCUGUGGCGAAGGCGACUGCCUGGACCAGCACUGACACUGAGGCACGAAAGCGUGGGGAGCAAACAGGAUUAGAUACCCCGGUAGUC